GGUUGUGAUCAUACUAGCAUAAAUGCACCGGAGUUAAGCGUGCUUUGGCGAGGGUAGUACUAUGAAGGGUGGCCCCUGGAAAGUCCUCAUGUUGCAACUC
rnacentral:rRNA from 1 species